GUAAAUAAGCUUUAUAUAUUGUCAAAUGUUAUUCUUCAUAUUAAUUUUUUUAAAUGUUUUAUAAUUUAUAUUAGUUGAUUGUUUAACAUUCAAUAUCAAAUUUUAGGAAUAGUUAAUAAUAAUUUAUAAUUUUGAUUAGAUUAUUUUGUUUAUGCUAUAAAAGAAGGUGGAAAAAGUGCAAAAUAAAAAAAU
rnacentral:rRNA from 1 species